rnacentral:rRNA from 1 species
ACGGCUCAGUAACACGUGGACAACCUACCCUUAGGACUGGGAUAAACCUGGGAAACUGGGUAUAAUACCGGAUAGGGCUCGGAUGCUGGAAUGCACCGAGCCUUAAAGCUCCGACGCCUAAGGAUGGGUCUGCGGCCUAUCAGGGUAGUAGUGGGUGCAAUGUACCUACUAGCCUACGACGGGUACGGGUCGUGAGAGCGAGAGCCCGGAGAUGGAUUCUGAGACACGAAUCCAGGCCCUACGGGGUGCAGCAGGCGCGAAAACUUUACAAUGCUGGAAACAGCGAUAGGGGGACUUUGAGUGCCAGGAUACAAUCUUGGCUGUCGUCGUGCCUAAAAAGCACGGCAUAGCAAGGGCCGGGCAAGACCGGUGCCAGCCGCCGCGGUAACACCGGCGGCUCGAGUGGUAACCGCUAUUAUUGGGUCUAAAGGGUCUGUAGCCGGCUGGAUAAGUCUCUUGGGAAAUCUGGCUGCUCAACAGUCAGGCUUUCAGGAGAUACUGUCCGGCUCGAGACCGGGAGAGGUGAGAGGUACUUCAUGGGUAGGGGUGAAAUCUUGUAAUCCUUGAAGGACCACCAGUGGCGAAGGCGUCUCACCAGAACGGAUCUGACGGCAAGGGACGAAAGCUAGGGGCACGAACCGGAUUAGAUACCCGGGUAGUCCUAGCCGUAAACGAUACUCGCUAGGUGUCGGCCACGGUGCGACCGUGGUCGGUGCCGUAGGGAAGCCGUGAAGCGAGCCACCUGGGAAGUACGGCCGCAAGGCUGAAACUUAAAGGAAUUGGCGGGGGAGCAC